rnacentral:misc_RNA from 1 species
GUAGGUGAACCUGCGGAAGGAUCAUUAGUGGAAAGAAGAAGAUGGAUGAAUUACUGGAUUUAUGCAUGCAUGACCAGCAAAUGUAGAUUUAACAAUGACCAGAAAAGAUUACAUGAGCACCUUGCUGCAAUGGAUCUCUCGGCUCUU